AAAAGAGGAAGAAACUAAGGCCGAGGGUGAAUUUCUGCUAUUGGCUUCUCUCUUGGGAGCUGCGGUGUUCUCAACGUCAGUUUCCUGGGUCAUGAAGGACCCCUGGUUUGCCCAUGCUUUGUUUCAAAUUCUUUCGCCCAUAAGCAGUAGACACCUUUCUUCAUCCUUUUAGCUGUUCCUCACUAGGCUACCACUGGCCAGACAUCUUAAACUUUCUCACUGAGGCUGGGGCUCCGGAGUCUCCGGGGUUCUUGUCGUUACCCUGGCUGCAACACAGGUGUCCCUCAGAGAGCUGGGGCACCAGAGCUGAUGAGAAAUCAAAAAACUUUCGCUCGCCCUAAGCAUCUGCGGUCAGUCUAAACCAGAGAUAGGAGUCUUUGCAGCAACACACGCACGUUUUGUCCUGGGCUCUGCCCCCAUCCCGCUGCACACACCCUGGGAGCCACCUUUCGGCAGAACAUCCCUCCCCCCGCACCCGUUACUAUCCUCAAGUCCGGCAAUCGGGGCGGGAGGGCUCCCGGUGCGCCUCUGGCUCGCGCGGCCUCCGCCCGAGCUGCGUGGCCGCGUGCGCACCGGGCGCUCGAGUCUCCGAGCAUGGCAGAUUUCCACCGGAUGACAUCAUGGGAGCGAGUGAGUGCCGGCUCUACCCGGGGCGGGGNNNNNNNNNNNNNNNNNNNNNNNNNNNNNNNNNNNNNNNNNNNNNNNNNNNNNNGAGAGGCUGCGAAGCAGAGCCAGAGCUGCUGCCUGGGGCCGGCUGUCUGUCCGCCAGCCGGGGAGGAGCGCUCCGGCCGCCGCUGACAAAGGAUGGGAGGAUGCCUGCACCCCGGGAUUCGGGCUGCGCGAAGCCCGGCGGUCGCCUGAGCGGCUUCGUUUCCCUCCGCUGCUGGACAGACGUCCUGAACCACAGCAUCUCUGGCCAUGGGACAUUUACACCUCCUCUUUGCUCUGCUUCUUGGUUCGCUCUACAUGAACGGACUUAUAUCUGGGGUAAGUGUAUAUUAAAAAGUUUCUAACUUGAAAAUUCACCUCUUCUAGAGACAAUUUCCCCUGUGCCACCAUAUGUAUAAGGUAAGUGUGGGAUCUGGCUGUGACAGGGUGACUGUAUACAAGUCCAUGGAUAUUGAAUAGAGGUGUUGAAGCUCUUCCACCUGUGAAAACUUAUUUAACCAUCAAUGGAAUAUUUGUGUUGUUGGUUAGAGACAUUACCAGCAAUGGUAGAUAUAGAAAAAUGUGACUUUCCUUCCCAAGCCAGUGAGCCCCAGCCUCCUGGGGUGAGGAGCUUAUGUGUCACUAUUGAUUUUGUGAUCCUGGUCUUAAGUCAUAAAACAACAACAGCACCAGCAGCAACAAAACCAGUGUUACUGCUGAUUACUUUUAUAGCCACACCCACGGAACAUAGAAGUACCCAAGUUAGGGGUCAAAUUGGAGCUGAAGCUAUAGGCCUAUGCUAUGCAAUGGCAACACCAGAUCUGAGCCACAUCCACAAACUAUGUCACAGCUCAUGGCAAUGACAGUUCCUUAACCCACUGAGUGGGGCAGGCAUCAAACCUGAAUCCUCAUGGACAUAAUGUUGGGUCCAUAACCUGCUGAGCCACAACAGGAACUAGGAAACCUAUUUUUUGAGAAUUUCUAAAUGGUUCUUGAGAUGAUUAUAUCUAAUUAUACAGAACCAAGGCUGGAAAUUUCUAGUUAAGAGACUCCUACUUUAUGUUGAGAUACCAGGCAGAUUCUCUCUUUUAAUUGAUACAGUGUGUGUGUGUGUGUGUGUGUGUGUGUGUGUGUGUGUGUGUGAGAGAGAGAGAGAGAGAGAGAGAGAGAUGUUUGGUUUUCUGAUUUAUCCUUAAUUCCUCCUCAUUCUAUACACUCUCUUUAUCUAACCAGUUAUCAAGUGCUACUAACUCAAAAUACCUGUCCUGCUCUUCCCCUUUUCCCUUGGUUUGGGAAGGGAAACCAUUUCAUUUCUUUAGCAAAUGCUGCAGCUCACCCCCUGCUUUUCUUCCUCCUACUCUUUCUCUUUUCUCUUACGAGACCUUUCUUGAUGGUGAAACAUUUCUUUUUUUUUUUAAUGGCCACACCUGAGGCAUAUGGAAGUUCCUGGGCCAGGGUUUGAAUCUGAGCUGCAGCUACGGUGCUGGGACAACACUGGAUCCUUUAACCCACUGCACCUGGGUGGGGGAUCAACCCCCCCACCUCCUCAGUGACCUGAGCCACUGCUGUUGGAUUCUUAGCCCACUGUGCCACAGCAGAAACUCCAUGGGACAUUUGUUCUUAAAAAUUCCGGUUCCUCCUUCUCAGAGGAAGAACUGAUAUUCAAAGAUACAGUCUCAAGUUGUUUAAAAACUUAAAACCUAAUCAGUGGUUCUACCUUACUGGCAGCUAUUUCUCUUUUGCAGUCUUUUACUCUCACAAUACUGAAUAUAGCAUAGUUGAAAUAAAAUCUUUUUUUUUCUUCUGUGACUUUUCACAUGUUCCCUGUGUGAAUUGUCCUUCAGUGCCCUCUAUGACAUAAUAGGUAUUUGUUUCCACAUCUUUAAAAACUCUUGUAAUUACUUUAACAUAUGCAUACCUCCCCUACUAGUCUGUACAUUUCUUGAGACCCAGAAUCAUGAGAUAUUUUGCUUGUGUUCACAGUUUCUGUGACAGUGCUAUGCAUGUCCCGUAGACAUUCAAAACAAAUUGAAUUGAAAAUCAAUAAUACAUGCAAUGGAUCUGUUUUAUUUGUUGUGUGUAUCUGCUUGAAAAUAUUCUUGAUUUGAGAAGACUUCAAAGAGAAGACAGAUGAAGAGGACUGGUAAGGGGAGGGGGAAAGAAAGUUAGAAAACGUUAGGAACCAAUAUGGUCUAGAGUUGGGACUGCGCAUAGAUUCUACUGGAGCAUUGUGUCUGGUGGGAUUGGCUGUGCUGGAGUCACAUGUGGGGAGAACGUGGGUCUGUGGCGGGAUUCAGAAAGAAUCGGAUACAGUUGAUUUCUGAUACUGCUGGGGGACAGGAGGAAGGCUGAAGCCUGAGCUUUGAAUUUGUUGAGCAGCAUCUGGAGAAGUAGCUCCCAAUCAUUCUGUCUUGUUGUUAAACAUGUAUUAACAUGGGAAAUUUACAAGUUUGGAUCAAGGCACAAGUAAGAUACUUUUCAUACUUCCCCCUUUCCUGUCUCUUAGAUUCUCAUAAUUGAUUGUGACACCAGAGUGUCCUGACGUCUGGUUGAGAAUGUCUGGUCUUCCCCAGUGGUUCCCAACCACGGAUCUUAGUUUCCGGAGGGGCCUUGCAAGUGUCCUUCAUGUCUAUUAGCACAAGAAACAUUCUCUUAAUUUUUAAAAAAUGUCCUUCCAUUACAUAUACACUAAUUUUAAAGUGCAUGUUUCAGAGUUGUGAUUCUUAAUAAAAAUUAAAUUUAUGUAAACAAAUGUAUGGUAUCUUCUUGUCAUUAUGGCUUUUUUUUUGAUUAAUGGCCACUAAAAUAUUCUACUAUCAUAUAGGAAAACAUGAUUUUUUUUCCUUUUCAAAUGGUUUCUUAUACUCAGAGACAAUGGAAAUAAUUGGUUAAGACAAGACAGUGAACCACAUUUGACCUUCACAGGUGUUGGUAAAGAAAAGUGACACGAUGGCUGAAUGAUUGGCUAGGAGAAAGAAUUAACAUACAGUAUUCUAAAUUUUACAAGAUUAGUAGAUUUUAGGUAGGGGUGACAUUGUAGAGCAACACAUAUAAAAGACAGUUUGCAAGUAGAGUUUGAAAUGAUUACAGAAUACGCACAUUUCUGAUUUUAUUAUGAAAACAUAUAUUGAAAAAUUCAGGUAUAUUGAUAUUAGCGUGAAUUCAUUGCCACCGUUUUUCAUUGAUUCUAAGAUGCACAUGUAUUUUAAUAUUUCUGACACUGAUGUGCAAACUUGCAGUUGCUGUUGGCCAGUUGAAAGUUGAGGUACAGUUUUUAUUGCCUUUACAUGGAUAGACUGAGUUAUGGUGAGUGUCACUCCCUGAUGACAUUACAGUACAACCUAACAAAUCAUUUCAAAGCCAUUUCAGGGGGAAAAUAUCCCCGUGUGUUAUCUGAAAACUGAUUAUUGACAUCUUCUAGUAAGAUCAAGAAAGUAUCAUCAUCAGCACCUCUAGUGUGGGUAUAAGAAGCUUGGAGACAACACUGGAACUCUCUUUUAAGGACUAUUACUUCACUGAUUUCUGUGGUAGAAGAGAGGAUCUUUCUGUAUGAAAGAAAAUUAAAAAGGUCAAUCACAUUGAAUUGUAAAAUGUUUCAGAGAAUUUAGACUCUGAAUAUGAACAAAUUUUAGAAAUAAUCUUUAUUAUUUCACAUUUAUUUUUCCGGAGGAAUUGGUAGAAGCCUGUGUAUAAGUAGGUCUAAAAAAAGCCUUUUCAAUAAAAAUAAAAGAAAUAUUCUAAGUGAUAAAUUACAAGGCCAAAGUUUAAAAAAAAUUUUUAUUAUAGUUGAUUUACAUUGUUCUGUCAAUUUCUGCUGUAUGGUAAAGUGACCCAGUCAUGCAUCUACACACACUGUCUCAUAUUAUCUUUCAUCACAAGUGAUUAGACAUAGUACUCUGUGCUUUAAAAUAUGAAGGAAUAACAAGGUCAAAGUUUUAAAUAGCAGACGUAGAUUUUUAUUCCGUAGUGACUUUUCACAUUGACAGCACUUUAAAUUUAUUUAUUUAUUUUUAAUUUUUAAUUUCCCCAAUAUGUUAUUAUGUUUUUUUUUUCCUACUGUACAGCAUGGUGACCCAGUUACACAUACAUGUAUAUAUUUUUUCCUCACAUUAUCAGGCUCCAUCAUAAGUGACUGGACAUACUUCCCAGUGCUACACAGCAGGAUCUCAUUGCUAAUCCAUUCCAAAGGCAAUAGUCUGCAACUAUUAACUCCAAGAUCCCAAUCCAUCUCACUCCCUCCCCCUCCCCCUUGGCAACCACAAGUCUAUUCUCCAAGUCCAUGAGUUUCUUUUUCUGUGGACAGGUUCUUUUGUGCCGUAUAUUAGAUUCCAGAUAUAAGCAAUAAUCAUAUGGUAUUUGUCUUUCUGACUUAGUUCACUCUGUAUGAGAGUCUCUAUUUCCAUCCAUGUUGUGCAAAUGGCAUUAAUUUGUUCUUUUUUAUUGCUGAGUAGUAUUCCACUGCAUAUAUAUACACCACUUCUUCCUAAUCCAAUCAUCUGCCAGUGGACAUUUGGGUUGUUUCCAUAUCUUGGCUAUUGUGAAUAGAGCUGCAGUGAACAUGCAGGUUCAUGUGUCUUUUUCAAGGAAAGUUUUGUCUGGGUAUAUACGCAAGAGUGGGAUUGUGGGGUCAUAUGUUAGUUCUAUGUAUAGAUUUCUAAGGUAUCUCCAUACUGUUCCCAUAGUGGUUGUACCAGCUUCCAUUCCCACAAACAGUGCAGGAGGGUUCCCUUUUCUCCACACCCCCUCCAGCAUUUGUUAUUUGUGGACUUAUGAAUGAUGGCCAUUCUGACUGGUGUGAGGUGGUAUCUUGUGGUAGUUUUGACUUGCAUUUCUCUAAUAGUCAGUGAUGUUGAGCAUUUUUUCAUGUGCUUGUCGGCUAUCUGUAUAUCUUCCUUGGAGAACUGUCUAUUCAGGUCUUUUGCUCAUUUUUCCAUUGGGUUGUUGGCUUUUUUGCUAUUGAGUUAUAUAAGUUGUUUGUAUAUUUUAGAGAUUAAGCCCUUGUCAGUUGCAUCAUUUGAAACUAUUUUCUCCCAUUCUGUAAGUUUCUUUUUGAAAACAAACAAAAAAGGCAAUUUAUUUAGUUGGCACUAUAUAAACCAGAAUCACUCUUAGCUGGUGCUUUAGCAAAGUCUAUAGUACAUAAUUGUAGUACCUAAAAUUAUCAUUCAAAUACCUGAAGAAUAAAAUACAUCUAAAUAGUCUCUGAAUUAUUAAGGAAAUAUGGAGUUAAGUUCAAAUAAAUGAUAAUUGUAUUUUAUUGCAUUUAAAAUGGUAAUCCAGACAUUUACAAAUCAGAUAAUUUUGUUACUAAAAGAGUGAUUCUGGCAGUUCCUGUCAUGGCACAGCUGAAGCGAAUCUGACUAGGAACCAUGAGGUUGCAGGUUCGAUCCCUGGCCUUGCUCAGUGGGUUAAGGGUAUGGGGUUGCUGUGAGCUGUGGUAUAGGUCACCGAUGCCACUUGCAUCUGGUAUUGCUGUGGCUGUGAUGUAGGCUGGCUGAUGUAGCUCCAAUUUGACCCCUAGCCUGGGAACCUCCAUAUGCUGCAGGUGUGGCCCU
rnacentral:lncRNA from 1 species